AUGCUUUCAGUUUCAGCUUACACAAGAAGGGAGGAGAGAAAAGCCAUGGCCGACAAGGUCCUGAAGGAGAAGAGAAAGCAGUUUAUCCGUUCAGUGGGCGAAGGUACAAUAAAUGGCUUACUGGGUGAAUUAUUGGAGACAAGGGUGCUGAGCCAGGAAGAGAUAGAGAUAGUAAAAUGUGAAAAUGCUACAGUUAUGGAUAAGGCCCGAGCUUUGCUUGACUCUGUUAUUCGGAAAGGGGCUCCAGCAUGCCAAAUUUGCAUCACAUACAUUUGUGAAGAAGACAGUCACCUGGCAGGGACGCUGGGACUCUCAGCAGGUCCAACAUCUGGAAAUCACCUUACUACACAAGAUUCUCAAAUAGUACUUCCUUCCUAGGUUCAACUUUCAUUUGAGCAGCCAGAUGAUAAAGCACAGAUGCCCAGCACUGAAAGAGUUACUUCGACAAGACGUUUCUAUCUCUUCCCAGUACAUUAAAAUAAGGAAGCUGUAUGAAUGUCUGAGGGCCGGAAGAAACUAAGUUCCAGUACUUGGAUGUCAACUUGCUGACGACAAGGCACUUCCUUACAAUGAGCCUGGAAUUCUAAGCAGCAGUUUCACAAUCUGUAAUUGCACGUUUCUGCCCUUUACAAUAAAGAAAUACACAGUUUCCUUUCA